rnacentral:rRNA from 1 species
UACGUAGGGGGCUAGCGUUGUCCGGAAUCAUUGGGCGUAAAGAGCGUGUAGGCGGCCCGGUAAGUCCGCUGUGAAAGUCGGGGGCUCAACCCUCGAAUGACCGGUGGAUACUGUCGGGCUAGAGUGCGGAAGAGGCGAGUGGAAUUCCGUGGUGUAGCGGUGAAAUGCGCAGAGUAUCGAGGAGGAACACCAAUUGCGAAGGCAGCUGCGCUGGGACGUAACUGACGCUGAGACGCGAAAGCGUGGGGGGAGCAAACAGGAUUGAGAAA